ensembl:processed_transcript
CAGAGGAUCGCCGCAAGUUGGCGCAAUUCAUGUGCCAUGACACUUCAACCUCAGAUAAGUUCUACGCACUUCACCUCGGACCUCUCCAAGCACGCGAGCGCCGCAGACUCUUUGAAAGGGCCCUGGUGGAGGAGGAGGAGGAGGAGGAUGGGGAGGCAGCGGGCACUGAAAGCCCCCCGCGGAAAGGGCGCAAGAGGACAGAGACUUCCGUCUCUCACCUGGAGGGAACCAGCAGGAGGACGCUGCCAUGGCGCCCUGCCAGGGGGAAAAGCCAGGGCGCUCGCCCGCUCGAACAAACAGAAGACUCUGAAUCGUCCUGAAUAAAUAUUGUACAACUUAACGGUCAAA